CUGAACUGGGGCCACUUGAGGGGGUCUUGUAGAAGAGGAAAACUUGUGGCGCAAUGGGAUGUCCAGGGACACAGAUAGCCAGGUGACACACAGUGACCUUCCUCAGGAGAGUGGAAGCUCUGCAGGUGGGGAUAAUAGGACCUACCUAGCUGGGCUGUUAUGAAGGCUAAACGAGGAAACACUUGUAAAGUUCUCAGAACUGUGCCUCGAACAAGCUUUGCAGAUUUGAUAUAGAAAUCCAGGAGAAAAUUCUAUGAGAAGAGCUCUUACCAUAUAAUGAAGACAAGACUUGAGCAAGACUUUGUAAUUUUCUACUAAUCAAAAUUCAAAGUAUGAGUCUUGACAGAAGCCAAACAAAGCCUCCUGCCUGGAACUCUGGAACUCUUCUCUUUUUGUUCUGAAGCCUUGGACCCAUCUUGCCUUUUGCUAUGAGUAAAGUUUACCGCAGAGGCUUGGUAUCUUAGUUUAGAGUUCACAUUUCUGGUUUUCGAUGGCUGUAGAUCAAUCCUAGUGGAAAACUCCACAAAGUGCAGAGAAAGUUGUCCUUGUGAAGUCACCUUGCAGAGGAGGAAAGCGGUCUCUAAAUAAGAAAUCUAUAUUCCAGUCUGACAGCUCGUACGGCGUGGGGUAUGAAUUUCUCCUCUGAAAGUCUGAUGGCCAUCCUUGUUCUUCCUCAGCAGGGCUGCCUGAGUAUCUUUGAGAAAUGCCCAAGGGUCCUCUUGAGGAAGGGGAUCGUCCAUUGGCACCUGGAGCCUUCCAUGGAAACUGGUUGGCUGGCUCUCCAUUUUACGCUAGAGUCAUCUCAGACAUCAGUUAGCUACCAAGGCAAGUCGUUAACAUGCAUGACAAUGAAUCCAGUCUUGGCAAUCAUCGUAAUUAAGUGUGCACACUGUAUCAGGGUGCUGAUUAAGUGGCUUCAAUUUUAUGGGUAUGAUUCCUAAUGAUCGUUCUUUUUACUGAUUAAGAUGCAUUAAGCCUCAGAGGACAUUGGGGAUUCCUAUGCACUUGGAAGGAGGAGACUGAAGCCACACAGUGUCUGGAAAGGAAAACCCUUGAUUAAUCACCAGAGAAGAGGAAAGGAAUUUUCUAAGGUGUUUUCUAAGCUGAGUUCAUCCCAAAGAUGUCAGAGUGCUAGAAAAGAGAUGACUCCAAACAAGUCCAACCUGACUAUGGCAUUUGAGAGUUGAAUGUGGCAUUGGAGCUUGUUUUGUUUUUGUUUUCCUGAAAAAAUUAACCAAGGGAAAUUUCAAAUUUUUCAGCCUGUCUAAAUACGGACAAAUGUCCCAAGAAGCUAAAAGCACCAGUAUAUGCCACCCUUGGUUCCUGUCCUCAUCCCUAUCCCUGCACAGUGUAGCUUUCACGAUUACCAACCAACACCCAUCAUCUCCUCUAACCAUCACCCAUGGGCAUCCUGCAAGACACAUACAAGAAAAUGACACCGCAUUUCACUUACCUGAAAUCAAUAUAGUACGACUGGAAAAAGAAAUAAAGGUUUAUCCCUUUGUCCUUCUCAUGUUUAAAAUACCCAUGGACUCAUACAUGACCCAGAAAAGGGAGCUCACAGCCAAAUUACAGAGAGGAGCAGAAGUUUGUCUUGGGUUUUGAGUUUUCUGAUGAGUUAAUGGAGGUGUGUGGGAUGUAGGGUAUUUUUAACACUUGAGAAGCCCCCAGCUUUGCUUCAUUCUCUGUCUCUCUCUCUCUGUCAUAAUCACCUCUCUUGCUAAAAGAGAAGCUCACCAUCCCAUAAGACACCAUGCCAGAAGCAGGGAUGUCCUCACCCAUCACCACCUCCUCUCUAAUCUCACUGCCCCACUUCCCCUCCAUAACCUGCUCCUCCUCCCCUCCUCUCCCGUCCCCUCCGCUCCGCUCCCUUCCCUUCCCCUUCCCUCUCCUCCCAUCCUCUUCCUCACUGUCUUUCUAGCAUAUCCACUUCUCUAUCCCCAUUGAUGUGACUUUAGCAGGAUCCUCAUUCACAACUUCAGCUAUUGCAUUUUCUCCCAACUGGGCUCCUGCUUCUUUUCUUAUGGGAUCAUAAUCCCUCCUUCAUUCAGCAACCAAGAUGAAUUUUAUGUUGUACAAAUAUGGUUAUAUUCACUCCUUGUUUAAAGUAAAUGCCUCUUAAUUUCCUGGGUAUAAAGCAAAAAUACAUUAGCUUAGCUUAGAAGUCUUCCAUGGUCAGCAUCUCUCUGCCCCCAGCACUCUCUGACUUCCAGCCAUAGAGACAUUCCUGCAAUGUCCCCAUAUACUAUACCUUCUUGUGUCCCCAUGCAUUGGACACAGAUAGGGCUCCCCAUUGCUCUUAGAAUAAAUGUUCAUGUACCUCUACUUUGUGGCACUUAAACUACAGCUGUGCGUUUUUACACUUACCUGUGCAUGUGUUUUGCUUCCUUGACUUUCUGUAGACUCAAGAGGGCCGCAGUCUUGUAUUGGUGGUGUUUGUUGGUUUGAGUCGUUCCUUACUAUGUUAUCCCCAAAAUUAGCACAACAUCUGGCCUAUAGUGGAAGCUCAGUAAGUAAAUGUUUAAGGAAUUAAUAAAUUUUAGCAUCUCUUGAGACUUUUAUUGAGCUUGUAAUGCAUAGUUAUAGCAUAAAUGGUUGACGAAUGAAAUGGCCAAGCCAUCUGGCUAGAUGCCAAGGUAUAGUGGCUUUGGAAUCUGGACCCUGUCUACUCCAUCUUCUUGUAUUCAAUAUUCAUUCUGAUUUUGUGGUAAUGUAGAAACUUCUUCUUGUUCCUUGUUCCACGGAACACCCUACCCCAGGGGAAACUGAGGAAAGGGGGAGAGGAGAUGGCCCCCACACUCCUGCUGCUUCCUCUGCAAUUUUCCUUUUCCCUUCUCAACCCAGCUUUAGCCAGACGUCUGACCUCUGUACCUCAGUGGAUCCAACCACCUACCUGAUUAGAUGAGAUGAGGUGGGACAAGGACACGGAAGCCCAAAUCAGAAGAGAAAUUUCAAGAGCUUUAGAAAUGAGGACUUCAACUGUGCAGACUUGGGACUUUUCUGGCUUGAGAGGUGGUAUGCUCAGCCAUCAUUCACUCUCAAGGCACUGCAGAUGGUUGGCCCAGCAGAGGCAGACAUUACAGCUUCAGGGCUAAGUCCUUAACUCAUAUUUGCCUCUUGUACUUUGUAUUUAGCUUACGUGGAAAAUGGAUUUUGGAAUCAUUUGUUUCCUUCCUUGAAUUUGCAGGCUAAACUAAAAAACUGCAGGUCAUAUUUUGACUGGCUGGGGGAUGGGCUGGUGAGGAUGAGUGGAGGAAAUUUCAGCAGGCAAUUUGGCAGGUGAGCUGUGGCUUCUGGGGAACAUUUGUGCAAGUCUGAGCUUUGUGACAAUCCCUCAUUGCCUUUCGCCCUAAGUUUCUUUAAAUUUAUUUCUGUUGCUCCUUAGAUACACUUUAGAUAUAAAUAAUGUUUGUUCCUUCUCUCUAUAGUUCAAUAUAUCAUGAAUUCUUCCCUGGCUGACUCACCACUCUGAGGUUGACUUCUUAUCUAGUUAUCACAGAUCCACCACCUGCUCCUUUUUCCUACUUAAUUCUUUCCAUCAUUUUUCCUGCAGCUUGUAUCUUGACAUCUGUCUGGCUCAUGCUAGAAACUUCAGUCAUCCUUGGUCUGUGAUUCGUUCCACGUCCUGUCACUCACCCUCUUCCCCAACCAUUCCCAGGCUAUGUCCCUUUUUCUCCAUACUUUUGCUAGAGUCUCAUGAUCACUUACUCCCUUGACAGCAAAAGAUCCUAACUUGACCCUGAGAGUUCUGCAAGCCAGAAAUACCGUCUGUCUCACCUCUGAUAUAUCUCUGGUUUUCAUCCCACUGCUUGGAACAGAGUGACUGCUCCAGGUGUAUAAUUUGACUGAGUUAUAAGUCUUCCUUUUUCUGGGUUCAUACCCUCACUGCUCUGUUCCACAUCGUUAAUGACUCCCCAUCACCUAUAGACUAAAGCCCACACUACCAAACAUGGAUAUACAAGACUUUCAUUCAUUUGGCCAUGGAUUAACUUUACAUUGUAAUAUUAAUUUUCAUCUUCUAUCACUCUUAUACAUAAAUUCUCCAUUCCAAAUACUGAUAAUUUCUUGUUCUUCCCUAAACCGAAGGAGAGAACUGUUACCAGAAAGGAGUCUUGAUCUAGACCCCAAGAGAGGUUUCUUGGA
rnacentral:lncRNA from 1 species